GAUCAUGGCUCAGGAUGAACGCUAGCGACGGGCUUAACACAUGCAAGUCGAGGGGCAGCACGGGGUAGCAAUACCCCGGUGGCGACCGGCGCACGGGUGAGUAACACGUGUGCAACCAACCCCGUACCGGGAGAUAACCCGCGGAAACGUGGACUAACACCCCAUAAGACCUUUCCCCCGCAUGGGGGGGGAGUUUAAAAACCCCCGGUGGUACGGGACGGGCACGCGCGACAUUAGGUAGUUGGCGGGGUAACGGCCCACCAAGCCGACGAUGUCUA
rnacentral:rRNA from 1 species